rnacentral:rRNA from 1 species
AGGUGGGAGGCUUUGAAACCGGGACGCUAGUUUCGGUGGAGCCGACCUUGAAAUACCACCCUGGUUUGUUUGAGGUUCUAACCUUGGCCCGUGAAUCCGGGUCGGGGACAGUGCAUGGUAGGCAGUUUGACUGGGGCGGUCUCCUCCCAAAGUGUAACGGAGGAGUUCGAAGGUACGCUUGGUACGGUCGGACAUCGUACCUAAAGUGCAAUGGCAUAAGCGUGCUUAACUGCGAGACCGACAAGUCGAGCAGGUGCGAAAGCAGGACAUAGUGAUCCGGUGGUUCUGUAUGGAAGGGCCAUCGCUCAACGGAUAAAAGGUACUCUAGGGAUAAC